AUAACGACUCUCGGCAACGGAUAUCUCGGCUCUCGCAUCGAUGAAGAACGUAGCGAAAUGCGAUACUUGGUGUGAAUUGCAGAAUCCCGUGAACCAUCGAGUCUUUGAACGCAAGUUGCGCCCCAAGCCUUUUGGCCGAGGGCACGUCUGCCUGGG
rnacentral:rRNA from 1 species